GUUUAACACAGGUCAAGCGG
rnacentral:misc_RNA from 1 species